UCGCCCGCCCGCGCCCCGCGCCCGGCCCGCCGCCCCCGCCCGCCUACGGGAGGCAGCAGUAGGGAAUCUUCCACAAUGGACGAAAGUCUGAUGGAGCAACGCCGCGUGAGUGAUGAAGGUUUUCGGAUCGUAAAACUCUGUUGUAAGGGAAGAACACGUACGAGAGGGAAUGCUCGUACCUUGACGGUACCUUACGAGAAAGCCACGGCUAACUACGUGCCAGCAGCCGCGGUAAUACGUAGGUGGCAAGCGUUGUCCGGAAUUAUUGGGCGUAAAGCGCGCGCAGGCGGCCUUUUAAGUCUGAUGUGAAAGCCCCCGGCUCAACCGGGGAGGGCCAUUGGAAACUGGAAGGCUUGAGUACAGAAGAGAAGAGUGGAAUUCCACGUGUAGCGGUGAAAUGCGUAGAGAUGUGGAGGAACACCAGUGGCGAAGGCGACUCUUUGGUCUGUAACUGACGCUGAGGCGCGAAAGCGUGGGGAGCAAACAGGAUUAGAUACCCUGGUAGUCCACGCCGUAAACGAUGAGUGCUAGGUGUUGGGGGGUUUCCGCCCCUCAGUGCUGAAGCUAACGCAUUAAGCACUCCGCCUGGGAGUACGGCCACCGGGCC
rnacentral:rRNA from 1 species